rnacentral:lncRNA from 1 species
AGCUUCCCACAGCGGACACAGCAGGUGUAUCUCUCCACCCGCGGAGAAGUGAGGAACUCCAACACUCCUCCUUAGUGUGCAGAGCCGCUCCUCUCUUCUGGAUUAAUUCCCCAAGAGCAUCUCCAAGUGGGAUUCACAGAGCGAACCCCAGUGCAAGGUUGUAUAUCCUACUGUAAGUCGUUCUAGUUCUUCUACAUGAGCCGCCGCCACAGCGUGGCUACCGACAGAUGGGUGAUGUGGUUCUGCACCCGGGGAUGGAACCCAGGCCUUGGAAUCCGCUGAAGCGAUGAGAGCUGAACUUUAACCCCCAGGCCCUCAGAGCUGGCUCAGGAUUCUUCCUGAUUCGCCUUUUCCUGAGGGAGCAGCCUCCUGUCAGCCUGCCCAGCCGUCUGUCUCAUCACAAAGACCUCACCCUCUGGGGACAGGAGCGCCUGCAGGAGGAGCCCCGUGAGCUGACUCAGCACUCUGAUCUCUUUGGCCACACCCUGCACCAGCGCCCUGAUGUGUUUAAGAGCAAGAGUGAGAUCCAUUGCUUUGCUCUGAUCUCAUUGCUCUGCUUUGAUCUCAUUGCUCCUGUGGGAUGGCAGAGGAACACAAAAACCAAACUGGAACUUAAAGUUACGGUCGCAAGACACAGAAAAAGAAUUUUUCUACUUUGCCCUCCAUCCAUGGUCCAUCUGCACAAAUGGGAGCAGCCCGGACAGAAUGCUGCCUCCACCUCAGUCGAUGGGCAGUGAGGCUGAGCAUGGCCAAAAGGCCCUCGGAGCGCGUGGAGACUGGCUUCAGGAAAAGGGAGAGACAAGAGCCACACAGAGCCAGCCCCUUGGAGGACCUGCCGGGGAAUCGUCUACAACAUCAACGCCCUCUUCCCAUAGGACAUUUAUGGAGCCACUGCUGGAGGUCAGGCUUGACCAAUGACAACAACCGAGUAAAGGAAGUUAAUG